CGCGUAGGCGGUCUUAAAAGAUUGAUGUGAAAUCCCUGGGCUUAACCUAGGAACUGCAUCGAUGACUGUGAGACUAGAGUAUUGUAGAGGGUAGUGGAAUUUCCGGUGUAGCGGUGAAAUGCGUAGAGAUCGGAAGGAACACCAGUGGCGAAGGCGGCUACCUGGACAAAUACUGACGCUGAGGCGCGAGAGCGUGGGGAGCAAACAGGAUUAGAUACCCUGGUAGUCCACGCUGUAAACGAUGAAAACUAGAUGUUGGUCAGCGAGACUGAUUAGUAUCGAAGCAAACGCGAUAAGUUUUCCGCCUGGGGAGUACGACCGCAAGGUUAAA
rnacentral:rRNA from 1 species